UAUUAUUACCAAGGACUGCAAGGCUAUUACUGAAGGUCCAUUGGUUAGCUGUCCUAGCACUCCUAGCAGUGUUACUCCUAGAAAGCCUGUAGGUCGUAAAAACCAUUCAGAAUAUCAAGUCUCAGAGAUGGAACUUAAGUUCAAAUCAAAUAUGUAUUUGACCACAGAAAAGUGUCAACAGUUGGCUGAGAAAUUGCAGCUAACUGAUCGUCAGCUCAAAGCCUGGUUUUCAAACCGUCGUACAAAGGUUAGAAAACUUUCCAUGGCUCAGGAAGGACCCAUAAAAUAGGAUGCGUUUCAAAUCUCCGACAACGCCCGUGGCUAAAAAUGGCCGAGCAUAUAAGAUGCAGGUCAGAAAUCAGUUGGGGGCCAUUUGAAACUCCGGUUUGCCUUCAAAUUCAACAAAUACAUACAUAUAUAGUUUUACAUGAUUUUUCUUUGGUUCCAUUGCCAUUUGAUGUCGUUCACAUUCAAUUACCACACAACUUUUCACAUUGAACAAGAACAAUUUAAUUAUCACGAAUUAUGCAUCAUUAAAAUGAAAGAAUAAUUUCCAUUGAAA